UGACGACCGUACCGCAAACCGACACUGGUGCGCGAGAUGAGUAUUCUAAGGCGCUUGAGAGAACUCUGGAGAAGGAACUCGGCAAAUUGACACCGUAACUUCGGAAGAAGGUGUGCCUUUAGUAGGUGAAGUCCCUCGCGGAUGGAGCCCAAUGAGGUUGCAAAGAAUCGGUGGCUGCGACUGUUUAAUAAAAACACAGCACUCUGCAAAGACGAAAGUCGACGUAUAGGGUGUGACGCCUGCCCGGUGCUGGAAGACUAAAUGAUGGGGUGCAAGCUCUUGAUUGAAGUCCCAGUAAACGGCGGCCGUAACUAUAACGGUCCUAAGGUAGCGAAAUUCCUUGUCGGGUAAGUUCCGACCUGCACGAAUGGCGUAACGAUGGCCACACUGUCUCCUCCAGAGACUCAGCGAAGUUGAAAUGUAUGUGAUGAUGCAAUCUCCCCGCGGAAAGACGGAAAGACCCCAUGAACCUUUACUGUAGCUUUACAUUGGACUUUGAACAGAUCUGUGUAGGAUAGGUGGGAGGCUUUGAAGUAGGGACGCUAGUUCUUAUGGAGCCAACGUUGAAAUACCACCCUGGUGUGUUUGAGGUUCUAACCUUGGCCCGUGAUCCGGGUUGGGGACAGUGUAUGGUGGGCAGUUUGACUGGGGCGGUCUCCUCCCAAAGUGUAACGGAGGAGUUCGAAGGUACGCUAGCCACGGUCGGAAAUCGUGGUGAUAGUGCAUUGGCAUAAGCGUGCUUGACUGCGAGACUGACAAGUCGAGCAGGUACGAAAGUAGGACAAAGUGAUCCGGUGGUUCUGUAUGGAAGGGCCAUCGCUCAACGGAUAAAAGGUACUCUGGGGAUAACAGGCUGAUACCGCCCAAGAGUUCAUAUCGACGGCGGUGUUUGGCACCUCGAUGUCGGCUCAUCUCAUCCUGGGGCUGUAGCCGGUCCCAAGGGUAUGGCUGUUCGCCAUUUAAAGAGGUACGUGAGCUGGGUUUAAAACGUCGUGAGACAGUUCGGUCCCUAUCUUCCGUGGGCGUUGCAAGAUUGAGAGAGCCUGCUCCUAGUACGAGAGGACCGGAGUGGACGCACCUCUGGUGUAUCGGUUGUCACGCCAGUGGCAUUGCCGAGUAGCUAAGUGCGGAAGAGAUAGCCGCUGAAAGCAUCUAAGCGGGAAACUCGUCUCAAGAUGAGUCUUGCCGGGGACUUGAUCCCCCUGAAGGGUCGUUCGAGACCAGGACGUUGAUAGGUCGGGUGUGGAAGCGCAGUAAUGCGUUAAGCUAACCGAUACUAAUUGCCCGUGAGGCUUGACCCU
rnacentral:rRNA from 1 species